rnacentral:lncRNA from 1 species
GCGCGGAGCCCGUUGCCUGCGGCGCACAGGCUGUAUCAUGAGGGCACGUACGCCGUAAAUUGUCCAUGAAGCCAGGGCGCGGAGCCCGUUGCUAGCGGCGCACAGGCCGUAUCAUAGGGGCACGUAUGCCGUCCAUUGUCCAUAAAGCAAGGGCACGGAGCCCAUUGCUUGCGGCGCACAGGCCGUAUCAUAAGGGCACGUAUGCCGUCCAUUGUCCAUAAAGCAAGGGCGCGGAGCCCGUUGCUAGCGGCGCACAGGCCGUAUCAUAGGGGCACGUAUGCCGUCCAUUGUCCAUAAAGCAAGGGCGCGGAGCCCGUUGCUUGCGGCACACAGGCCGUAUCAUAAGGGCACGUAUGCCGUCCAUUGUCCAUAAAGCAAGGGCGCGGAGCCCGUUGCUUGCGGCGCACAGGCCGUAUCAUAAGGGCACGUAUGCCGUCCAUUGUCCAUAAAGCAAGGGCGCGGAGCCCAUUGCUUGCGGCGCACAGGCCGUAUCAUAAGGGCACGUAUGCCGUCCAUUGUCCAUAAGGCAAGGGCGCAAAGCCCGUUGCUUGCGGCGCACAGGCCGGAUCCCAACGGCACACACGCCCUUUCCCCAAGGGCACGCGGGCCCUGCGGCCUGGAUAGGCAGACAGGAGAAGUACCGCGCCAAAAGUCCUGAGGGUCUUGGGGAGGUGGGGGUGGCACAAUGGAAGAUGUGGAAAGGUAUUGCACAAAGCUGUGAACUGUAAAGCGACGGGUAGACACGAAGGCACGGCAAGCAGGACCGCGCAUGGCAAGCAAGUAGCCCGCCCGCACAGCUGUGCAUGCCCUUUUGCUUUCAGUGACUUGCCGAACGCCUUGUCCGCAACGCUUCGCGCGCCUUUGCUCCGCUUGAAAGCUCCGCUCUGCUCCGAUUUGCUCCCGAAUGCGGCCCCCGAACCAAAGCGUGGUUCAAAGCGCCAGAGAAGCUUCGAAGGGCAUUCCCUUACGAUCAGAGAGCGAGCGUGAUCAAGCUAAGGGGUUCCAUUGAGCAGGAUCGCGCAACAAAACGCUGCAACUCCGUCUGAGUAUAUAUUAAACGCUUAUUCGGUCCAUACAUGGUCAAGUAUAGUUAGAACCAGGUAUAGGAUUGCAAAGAAAGUCCAGAAAUGUAGGGAACGUUUAAGUGCGACACACUGAGGUCACCGUCCCGGCAGAGGGACGAUCCGAAAUACAGUACAGAAGCACAACGGCAGAUAAGGCGCCGUGUGCUCCUGACGCGUACAAGACCCAGCUCGGUUCGGCCCCAUGCACAGGCACGUACCCGAGCGUCCUGCGCCGUGCGUGACUCUAACGCAACACGGCAGUUACGUCGCAAUAACUAGACUUAUCUCCACUGCGCUGCGAUAAGUCAGCGCAUAUCCCCUCCCCUCUGUCCCAUUGCGCACCAUUGCAAGGCCAAGUAUGCCGGGAACUUAGCCCCUGAGCCGAGCUACCGGCUAUGGGCUCAUUCCAAACGUCCAUUUCAGCGCGCAGUUGUGCGAACGGGGUGGGAUGGGGGUGCGGGGGGAGGAAUGCCCGGACUGUGCGGGGAGGCGCCGGUGAACACAAGCGCGCUGGCGAGCCAAGGCCGUGGGCCGCGAUUUCGCGAAAUUGCCACCACGAUAGUAUGCACCGUUGAUACCACAAAACUCAGCGCUGCUGAUGCAUCGAGAUGAAGCAAACGACGUCGCUGCUUCUGCCGAUCACUCGCAUCCACAAUGUCUUGUCAAAUGUUUAUUGCCUUGAGGUAUCAUCGUCUCUCG